rnacentral:rRNA from 1 species
UGCAAGUCGAGCGGACAGAUGGGAGCUUGCUCCCUGAUGUUAGCGGCGGACGGGUGAGUAACACGUGGGUAACCUGCCUGUAAGACUGGGAUAACUCCGGGAAACCGGGGCUAAUACCGGAUGCUUGUUUGAACCGCAUGGUUCAGACAUAAAAGGUGGCUUCGGCUACCACUUACAGAUGGACCCGCGGCGCAUUAGCUAGUUGGUGAGGUAACGGCUCACCAAGGCGACGAUGCGUAGCCGACCUGAGAGGGUGAUCGGCCACACUGGGACUGAGACACGGCCCAGACUCCUACGGGAGGCAGCAGUAGGGAAUCUUCCGCAAUGGACGAAAGUCUGACGGAGCAACGCCGCGUGAGUGAUGAAGGUUUUCGGAUCGUAAAGCUCUGUUGUUAGGGAAGAACAAGUGCCGUUCAAAUAGGGCGGCACCUUGACGGUACCUAACCAGAAAGCCACGGCUAACUACGUGCCAGCAGCCGCGGUAAUACGUAGGUGGCAAGCGUUGUCCGGAAUUAUUGGGCGUAAAGGGCUCGCAGGCGGUUUCUUAAGUCUGAUGUGAAAGCCCCCGGCUCAACCGGGGAGGGUCAUUGGAAACUGGGGAACUUGAGUGCAGAAGAGGAGAGUGGAAUUCCACGUGUAGCGGUGAAAUGCGUAGAGAUGUGGAGGAACACCAGUGGCGAAGGCGACUCUCUGGUCUGUAACUGACGCUGAGGAGCGAAAGCGUGGGGAGCGAACAGGAUUAGAUACCCUGGUAGUCCACGCCGUAAACGAUGAGUGCUAAGUGUUAGGGGGUUUCCGCCCCUUAGUGCUGCAGCUAACGC